rnacentral:rRNA from 1 species
GGAAAAGAAACUAACAAGGAUUCCCCUAGUAGCGGCGAGCGAAGCGGGAAGAGCUCAAAUUUAUAAUCUGGCACCUUCGGUGUCCGAGUUGUAAUCUCUAGAAAUGUUUUCCGCGUUGGACCGCACACAAGUCUGUUGGAAUACAGCGGCAUAGUGGUGAGACCCCCGUAUAUGGUGCGGACGCCCAGCGCUUUGUGAUACAUUUUCGAAGAGUCGAGUUGUUUGGGAAUGCAGCUCAAAUUGGGUGGUAAAUUCCAUCUAAAGCUAAAUAUUGGCGAGAGACCGAUAGCGAACAAGUACCGUGAGGGAAAGAUGAAAAGCACUUUGGAAAGAGAGUUAACAGUACGUGAAAUUGUUGGAAGGGAAACGCUUGAAGUCAGACUUGCUUGCCGAGCAAUCGGUUUGCAGGCCAGCAUCAGUUUUCCGGGAUGGAUAAUGGUAGAGAGAAGGUAGCAGUUUCGGCUGUGUUAUAGCUCUCUGCUGGAUACAUCUUGGGGGACUGAGGAACGCAGUGUGCCUUUGGCGGGGGUUUCGACCUC